rnacentral:rRNA from 1 species
GAACUUUCCAGAGAUGGAUUGGUGCCUUCGGGAACUGUGAGACAGGUGCUGCAUGGCUGUCGUCAGCUCGUGUUGUGAAAUGUUGGGUUAAGUCCCGCAACGAGCGCAACCCUUAUCCUUUGUUGCCAGCGAUUAGGUCGGGAACUCAAAGGAGACUGCCAGUGAUAAACUGGAGGAAGGUGGGGAUGACGUCAAGUCAUCAUGGCCCUUACGACCAGGGCUACACACGUGCUACAAUGGCGCAUACAAAGAGAAGCGACCUCGCGAGAGUAAGCGGACCUCAUAAAGUGCGUCGUAGUCCGGAUUGGAGUCUGCAACUCGACUCCAUGAAGUCGGAAUCGCUAGUAAUCGUGGAUCAGAAUGCCACGGUGAAUACGUUCCCGGGCCUUGUACACACCGCCCGUCACACCAUGGGAGUGGGUUGCAAAAGAAGUAGGUAGCUUAACCUUCGGGAGGGCGCUUACCACUUUGUGAUUCAUGACUGGGGUGAAGUCGUAACAAGGUAACCGUAGGGGAACCUGCGGUUGGAUCACCUCCUUA